GAUGAACGCUAGCGGCAGGCCUAAUACAUGCAAGACGAACGGUAAGUUGAGUAGCAAUACUUAGCCAAGAGUGUCGUACGGGUGCGUAACACGUAUGCAACCUACCCUAUACAGGAGGAUAGCCUAGGGAAACCUGGAUUAACCCUUCAUAGUAUUAUUGGAUGGCAUCAUUUGAUAAUUAAAACUGAGGUGGUAUAGGAUGGGCAUGCGUCUGAUUAGUUAGUUGGCGGGUAAUGGCCCACCAAGACGAUGAUCAGUAGGGGUUCUGAGAGGAAGAUCCCCCACACUGGCACUGAGAUACGGGCCAGACUCCUACGGGAGCAGCAGUAGGGAAUAUUGGUCAAUGGAUGCAAGUCUGAACCAGCCAUGCCGCGUGCAGGAAGAAGGCCUUCUGGGUUGUAACUGCUUUUGCCAGGGGAUAAAAUUUCCAUGCGUGGAAAACUGAAGGUACCUGGUGAAUAAGCCACGGCUAACUACGUGCCAGCAGCCGCGGUAAUCG
rnacentral:rRNA from 1 species